rnacentral:rRNA from 1 species
ACGAACGCUGGCGGCGUGCUUAACACAUUCAAGUCGAACGGAAAGGCCCUGCUUUUGUGUGGUGCUCGAGUGGCGAACGGGUGAGUAACACGUGAUUAACCUGCCCUUGACUUUUGGUUAACUUCAUGAAACUGGGGCUAAUACCGGAUAGGAUCUCCUUCUGCAUGGUGGUGCUUGGAAAGUUUCGGCGGUUGGUGAUGGACUCGAGGCUUAUCAGCUUGUUGGUGGGGUUGUGGCUUACCAAGGCUUUGACGGGUAGCCGGCCUGGGAUGGUGACCGGCCACAUUGGGACUGAGAGAGGGACCAGACGCGAACGGGAGGCAGAAGUGGGGAAUAUUGCAGAAUGGGCGGAAGCCUGAUGAAGAAACGCCGCGUGCGGAAUGACGGCCUUCGGGUUGUAAACCGAUUUCGACUGUGACGAAGCGUGAGUGACGGUAAUGGGUAAAGAAGCAACGGCUAACUACGUG